UACAGAGGUCUCAAGCGUUGUCCGGAUUUAUUGGGCGUAAAGAGCUCGUAGGUGGUUCGGUAAGUCGGAUGUGAAAUCUCCAGGCUCAACCUGGAGGGGUCAUUCGAUACUGCCGUGACUAGAGUUCGGUAGGGGAGUGUGGAAUUCCUGGUGGAGCGGUGAAAUGCGCAGAUAUCAGGAGGAACACCCGUAGCGAAGGCGGCACUCUGGGCCGAUACUGACACUGAGGAGCGAAAGCGUGGGGAGCGAACAGG
rnacentral:rRNA from 1 species